GACGAACGCUGGCGGCGCGCCUAACACAUGCAAGUCGAACGGAGUCAAGAGGAGCUUGCUUUUCUUGACUUAGUGGCGAACGGGUGAGUAACGCGAGAGUAACCUGCCCUGGAGUGGGGGACGACAGUUGGAAACGACUGCUAAUACCGCAUAAGCCCACGGAUCCGCAUGGAUCUGCGGGAAAAGGAUUUAUUCGCUUCAGGAUGGACUCGCGUCCAAUUAGCUAGUUGGUGAGGUAACGGCCCACCAAGGCGACGAUUGGUAGCCGGACUGAGAGGUUGGACGGCCACAUUGGGACUGAGCCACGGCCCAGACUCCUACGGGAGGCAGCAGUGGGGGAUAUUGCACCAUGGGGGAAACCCUGAUGCAGCAACGCCGCGUGGAGGAAGAAGGUUUUCGGAUUGUAAACUCCUGUCGUUAGGGACGAUAAUGACGGUACCUAACAAGAAAGCACCGGCUAACUACGUG
rnacentral:rRNA from 1 species